UACGGGGGGGGCAAGCGUUGUUCGGAAUUACUGGGCGUAAAGGGCUCGUAGGCGGCCAACUAAGUCCGACGUGAAAUCCCCAGGCUUAACCUGGGAACUGCGUCGGAUACUGGAUGGCUUGAAUUCGGGAGAGGGAUGCAGAAUUCCAGGUGUAGCGGUGAAAAUGCGUAGAUAUCUGGAGGAAUACCGGUGGCGAAGGCGGCAUCCUGGACCGACAUUGACGCUGAUGAGCGAAAGCUAGGGGAGCAAACGGG
rnacentral:rRNA from 1 species